rfam:Brachypodium distachyon strain Bd21 chromosome 2, whole genome shotgun sequence.
CUUGUACUCCUUCCGUCCAACAAAGGAUGUCUCAAUUUUCAAUAAAUUUGAAUGCAUCUAUACACUAAGUCAUGUCUAGAUCCAUUCAAAUUUUGACAAACUUGAAACAUCUUUUGUUGGUCGGAGGGAGUAGUAU